rnacentral:miRNA from 1 species
UGUGUGUGUGUGUGUGUGUGUGUGUGCAAAUAUAUAUAUAUAUAUAUAUAUACACACACACACACACACACACACACACACACACACACAUAC